rnacentral:rRNA from 1 species
GAGUUUGAUCCUGGCUCAGAUUGAACGCUGGCGGCAGGCCUAACACAUGCAAGUCGAACGGUAACAGGAAGAAGCUUGCUUCUUUGCUGACGAGUGGCGGACGGGUGAGUAAUGUCUGGGAAACUGCCUGAUGGAGGGGGAUAACUACUGGAAACGGUAGCUAAUACCGCAUAACGUCGCAAGACCAAAGAGGGGGACCUUCGGGCCUCUUGCCAUCGGAUGUGCCCAGAUGGGAUUAGCUAGUAGGUGGGGUAACGGCUCACCUAGGCGACGAUCCCUAGCUGGUCUGAGAGGAUGACCAGCCACACUGGAACUGAGACACGGUCCAGACUCCUACGGGAGGCAGCAGUGGGGAAUAUUGCACAAUGGGCGCAAGCCUGAUGCAGCCAUGCCGCGUGUAUGAAGAAGGCCUUCGGGUUGUAAAGUACUUUCAGCGGGGAGGAAGGGAGUAAAGUUAAUACCUUUGCUCAUUGACGUUACCCGCAGAAGAAGCACCGGCUAACUCC